rnacentral:sRNA from 1 species
UGAUUAAAUUCAACAAAUGGCCCUCUA